GGGCGAUUAGCUCAGUGGGAGAGCGCUUCCCUGACACGGAAGAGGUCACUGGUUCAAUCCCAGUAUCGCCCA
rnacentral:tRNA from 3 species